UCCUACGGGGCGCAGCAGUAGGGAAUUUUCGUCAAUGGGCGCAAGCCUGAACGAGCAAUGCCGCGUGAACGAGGAAGGUCUUCGGAUCGUAAAGUUCUGUUGAAGGGGAAAAAGAGCGGAGAGAGGAAAUGGUCUCCGAUUGAUAUUACCCUUCGAGGAAGUCACGGCUAACUACGUGCCAGCAGCCGCGGUAAUACGUAGGUGGCGAGCGUUAUCCGGAAUGAUUGGGCGUAAAGGGUGCGUAGGCGGCCUGCUAAGUCUGGAGUGAAAGGUACCGGCUCAACCGGAACAGGCUCUGGAAACUG
rnacentral:rRNA from 1 species